rnacentral:pre_miRNA from 1 species
AGUGGGAUUGCUGGAUCAUAUGGUAAGAGUAUGUUUAGCUUUCUAAGAAACCACCAAACUGUCUCCCAAAGUGACUGUGCCAUUUUGCAUUCCCACCAGCAAU